rnacentral:tRNA from 1 species
ACCAGGCUAGCUCGGUCGGUAGAGCAGGAGACUGUUAAUCUCAGGGUCGUGGGUUCGAGCCCCACGCUGGGUG